ensembl:lncRNA
UGGUACCCCUAAAGGCCUAGCUAAUUUCACCUGCCUUAAGGUAGUCUCCUAUAACCACAGCUCUUUCGGGUUUCACAGUGAGUGCCUCAUUAAGGAGAGCAAAUGCUGACAUGGGUACGAAACUCCCAGCAAACAAUUUAAAACCAGCAACUAUCUCACAAGAACUAUGUCACAGACACCUGACCAACGUUUCUAUAUAUAAACCUGUAAAUAACCCUGUGAUUUGCAUCGGCAUUAAAAAAUACAGUAAUUUUCUUACGUACGUGUGUAUAUAAACACAAUAAACUUUCAGACUGCUGAUAUCUGAGUGAUUAUAGCUUUGAGUUUCUUCCUCUAGAUGGCGGCAGCUGAAAGUAUUGUUUUCCAGGGGACGUGUAUUUACAUGCACAUUCUUAGUUGAUCACCUUGUUUACUGAAUUUGCUCACCUGUGGUUUAUAAGUAGUAAGUCUUCUUUUAGUAAAUACACCUCCACCUUUUGGUAAACCCUGUCAAUAAAAAAAAGUCUUUCCUACUUAGGAGUAACAGGUAACAAUCAUAAUCCCUUACUAUUCAGCAUUAAACUGAUUGUUUUACAUCAUUUAUUCAAUCCAUAAACAGGUGCUCUAAUUAAAAUCCAGAAAACAAAAUCAUAUACAGUUUAUUUAAAAGAUUAAUAGAAUGAAUAUAAAAAAGUGAAACACAGUACAGACCGAUUGACAUAUUAGUUUGUAUUUAAAAUUAUUAAACAUAAUUUAUUUAACCUUACUAAUGUGGAAAUGCCAUUGGUUUGGUUGCUUUGUUACCCUUAGUUUUAAGGGUACAAAAUGGAAUAAACAUAGCUAAGGUGUUGAAAUCAGAUGUUUUGAAUGCAGUGCGCACAAUGUGGAUAUGGCAAUGAGAGAGGCUGUUGGUAUGGACAGUGCUACAAGCUAUAUGGAGGUAGCAGUAAGAGAGGCUGGGCCGCUACCAUACAGAAAGUAUUCUGCUCACACUGAGUCUUCAGGUAUGUGCCAGUUGUUUGACAAAUCGGACCUGCAUACAGACCUGAGAAGGAACAACCUCGUCUCAAGAAAGUAGAGGUGGGGUUCUUUUUGAGUCAAUAAGGACAGUCCAACAGUCUGAUGGAAGCUGAAAUGGACACAUACAGAAAAUAAAUUUCUAUUCUAUUCUAGUGACUAUCUGUUCUCUUGCUAAAAUACUCAAUUGUACUCGCUGCUCUCCUCUCUGGCGAAAGCUUACAUUUUAAUUUCAGCAACCUCAAGUACACUGAGUAGUUCUAGGGAUAAAUGGGGCUUGUAACAGUACUGUCCAACAGUUGAUGAGUGUAGGCAACCAGCAACCAAAAGGGUUAAACACACACAAACACAACAGAAGAAUGCAUCUCAAAGUAUUUAAUGUGCACAAUGAGCUGUUUUUUUUUAACGCCACAUGGUCAGGCAACAGAAAAGAAAGCACAUGACACAGUACAUAGAACAGUAAACAGUCCUGAACAAAAACAAACAGAGGCUAGAUUGUGGUUAUUGACAAAGGAAAGAACAAAGCAAAACCAAAAACAAGCUUCCCUAAAGUUAAGCAUUAUAUAUCUAACUCUAACCCCUAACCCUAACCCUAGGGGCAGUGGUAGCUCAGUGGUUAAGCACGUUGGUCUUUUCACCAGAAGGUCAGUGGCUCAAGGGCCACUGCUGGGCCCCUGAGCAAGGCCCUUAACCCUCAACUGCUCAAAUGUAUAAGUGAGAUGAAUGUAAGCCGCUCUGGAUAAGGGCAUCUGGCAAAUGCCGUAAGUGGUGCUCGAAAAUGUCAACCAAACAACCAAACUCUCCCACCAAAGUGCCUCCAGCCAAACUUUCCACAGUGUGAUGAUUGGCAGUGUGAUGAGAAGCAGCGUACAGGCACACAUCAUAUCAGGCAUUCAUUGACCUGCACACACCUGGAAAACAAGCAGAGCAUACCUACCUGCUCUUGCAUUCAACACUAUUAAUAUUAGCUAUUGCUAGCCAUAUACUUGUAGCUAUAUUAUAAAGGGGGAAUCUCUCUAUCCUUGCUUAGGCAUGUACAGUAGGCUGCGAUAUAUUUUCUAACUAAUAUGAUGAAUCAGUUUAGUGUACUCAUCCAUUUAUUCAUUCAUUUUCAGAAAGUCCUUCAUCGUGGUCAGGGUCACAGCGGAUCUGUCCUGGGAACACUGGAAAUAACUGAAUGCACCAUGGAAAUAAUAAUUAUGGCAAUUGAGACUUGACUGCAAAUGUUUUAUGUGCAAAUUUAGUACCACAGCCGCUAGUAUAACAGUUACUUACUCUAGUUAUUGUGGGCAUUAAAUCUGAAUAAUUAACAAACAGCUGAAAGUCGUAAGAAACAUACUUUAAUAAUUCAGUACAUUUGCAUUCUAAUUCACAGUUAUAAAGAAAAAAAAGAAUCUGAUUUGGUGUAAAUUAAUGUCAUUUAUAUAUUCCAAAAAGGUUUUCUUUUUACAUUUUAGCCACAGUUCAGAAAUCUAUUUACAAAACAGAGUGCCAAUAUAUAAUUUAGGUUACAGGCUUGACUUCAUGUUCAGCCAAUUAAGGAUGGUUUCAUAUUUUACCCACACACACACAUACACACACACACACUUGUGACUUUCAACACACAUUUAUACUUAAUUUAUACUGUGUGAAGUGACGAAGUGGAGACUCAUUGCGCUGAGAAGCACAGCCAACACUGAGUGAGAGAGGAGAAAUGUACAAUGUCAUCAAGAGCGAUGUAUAUACACUAUAUAUAUAUAUAUAUA